UACGUAGGGGGCUAGCGUUGUCCGGAAUCAUUGGGCGUAAAGCGCGUGUAGGCGGUUCGGUAAGUCCGCUGUGAAAGUCGGGGGCUCAACCCUCGAAUGCCGGUGGAUACUGUCGGACUAGAGUACGGAAGAGGCGAGUGGAAUUCCUGGUGUAGCGGUGAAAUGCGUAGAUAUCUGGAGGAACACCGGUGGCGAAGGCGGCGUCCUGGACCAACACUGACACUGAUGAGCGAAAGCCAGGGGAGCAAACGGG
rnacentral:rRNA from 1 species